rnacentral:rRNA from 1 species
GCUAACUACGUGCCAGCAGCCGCGGUAAUACGUAGGUGGCAAGCGUUAUCCGGAAUUAUUGGGCGUAAAGCGCGCGUAGGCGGUUUUUUAAGUCUGAUGUGAAAGCCCACGGCUCAACCGUGGAGGGUCAUUGGAAACUGGAAAACUUGAGUGCAGAAGAGGAAAGUGGAAUUCCAUGUGUAGCGGUGAAAUGCGCAGAGAUAUGGAGGAACACCAGUGGCGAAGGCGACUUUCUGGUCUGUAACUGACGCUGAUGUGCGAAAGCGUGGGGAUCAAACAGGAUUAGAUACCCUGGUAGUCCACGCCGUAAACGAUGAGUGCUAAGUGUUAGGGGGUUUCCGCCCCUUAGUGCUGCAGCUAACGCAUUAAG